rnacentral:tRNA from 1 species
GCGGCUGUAGCUCAGCAGGAUAGAGCGGCGGUUUCCUAAACCGCAGGUUGCAGGUUCGAGUCCUGCCAGCCGCA